rnacentral:rRNA from 1 species
AUUGAACGCUGGCGGCGUGCUUAACACAUGCAAGUCGAUCGGUAACAGGUGUAGCAAUACAUGCUGACGAGAGGCGGACGGUGAGUAAUGCUUGGGAAUCUGCCUAUUAGUGGGGGACAACCCGGGGAAACUCGGGCUAAUACCGCAUACGCUCUACGGAGGAAAGCCGGGGACCGCAAGGCCUGGCGCUAAUAGAUGAGCCCGAGUCGGA